rnacentral:tRNA from 1 species
AGCAGGCAGGGCAACUGGUAAGCCGCAGGUCUCAUAAACCUGAAGAACUCGGUUCGAUUCCGGGGCCUGCAACCA